rnacentral:lncRNA from 1 species
CCCAACAUAACUUAUCACAACAUAACUUAUACCGGCAUAAACCCUAUUCCACCCGAACUACCCCUAAGGGUAUAAUUAUUCAUAUCUUAUAAAUCUUCCCAACUAGAAAAUCCAGUUUGCUAAAGGUUCAGUUAAUAACAAACUUGCAUAUGCCUUCACACAUAAAUCUAAGAAAGCCUCUCUGAAGCUUGAACUGAGAAAUAUAAUUAAUUACUCCGUACAGUAAGAUCUUGAUAGGUGGACUAGCUUAUACUUGAAAAACACGAGACAGAUAAUAUUCUCAUAGUAGUGGUGGGCCAGGUGAUCUCACAUGACCUGCAGAAGUUUUCAGUCAUUAGUUGGGAUAUGCAUGUGAUUGCAGCAACUGCUCAAAUCAAGAAAGAAAGGGUCAUCCAGAAUGGCGUGACGGACGACGGAGGAACAAAGAGAAAAGAAAUGCAAAAGAAUCAAAUUAGGCCUUGAACAUUUCGCCUAUGAUAAAAGAGUAUUAAUAAUUUGAGUAGCAACAUAUAUAUAGCAGGCAUACAUGGUCUAAUUAACCUCCUUUACUUUUAAUCGUCGUUUGACUUGAAUACAAGCUAUGCUUAGUAUUAGGUAGGCUGAAAUUAGUAAUGUUGGGAUUAAUUAUUCUGAUACGAUUUUUAUUGACUGUUUGGUAUGUUAUAUUAAUUAUGGAAUUGUCAAUUUUACCGUUUUAUCAUGUGAUAACUUAUUCUGGAAUUAUUAUUCCAUCUGACGGGUAUAAGUUAACCCGAUACUAUUUUUAAUCCUGGAGUAUCUGUUGCCAGACAAGCCAACAUUAGAAUAGUUUUUAACCAUUUUAAACAAUUCAUAUUAAAUAAUAACUCAGCAACUGAAAUAACUAAAAUAGAAUGAGGAAAAACGUAAUAACAGCGAUAUCUAGAUACAAUCUCAGAACUGGUGUCACAAGUGCACGAGUGACUAGAAUAAUACAAACAAUGGUCUGAAUGAAAGUAAAACUGUCUGAGCAGUUGUAUCUCAAGUCUCUGUCAGACAAUCAAUCUAAGCAAUCUACUGACCGCCGUUGAGACCGGCCUCAAUAUCCGCACUAGAAGUGUAGAGUGUAGUAUGAGUACAACCUAUCUCAUAUACUUUAUAAGUGCUGAGCCUAAACUCGACGAAGUGGUGUCGUGGCUAAGGCGGGUCAUUUACAAUAAGCUGCACAUAGUAUAACAAUAAUAACAAGAAAGGAAAUGUAGAACGAUAAGGCAGUUAACUGAUGAAAAUAAACUCAAUUCUUGAAAUCGGUAGCACCAGAAACAUCGUGCCUCAGUACCUCGUAUGGCAACACUAAAAGGUAACACAAUGCAACAAUGAAUAUAAAACACAUAAUCCGUUGCGGCGCAGAACCCGAUCCCACCGUACAAACACAAUCCUCCAUUAUUCCACCAUAUAAGUAUAAAUAAUAACAAGUAAAAUCCGUUGCAGCGCGCAACCCGAUCCCACCAUAUAAUUAGAAUCAAUAUCAUAAUCCUCCCUUAUUUCACCAUAUCAAUAUCACAUAUAAAAUCUGUUGCAGCGUGCAACCCGAUCCGGCCAUAUCAAUAUCAAUCUUCCCUUGUUCCACCCGUUGCGACGUGCAACCCGAUCCAUAAACAAAAUUAAUAAAUGUAAUCAACUCAACAACUUAAUUCACAAGAAUCUCUGCGAUUAAAGAAUUAUGAGAGCAAAACCAUAAAGGAAUCUCAUACCGAGUCAAGAAAUGCUACAAUUAAUACAAUACAACAAGACAAGCCAAAUAUAUGACAAUUAAAGUAUAUAAGUAAGACAAUUAAGGCAAGUAGUAGGUAAUCGUGGAGCAUGGAAGAAACGAGCAUUUCAAUAUAAGGGAAAAUAGUGACAAGUAACAAGUUAAGUCAUAGGAAGCAAUUAAGACAUAUAAUAGUUAAGAUAGGUUACAAAAAAAUUAAUAAAAUACGGAAAACAUGAAAAUAACUACUUCGGCGGUGUAUAUACACUUGUCACCUCGCAUAUACGCUGCUACACAUGUAAAUUACAUAACAUAUAGUUCAAGGGAUCCUAAUGCACUCAAAUCAAGGUUAGACUCAACACUUACUUCGCUCCGCAAGAAAUCAAAGCUCAACUGGGGCCUUUUCUCUUAAAUUCACCUUUGAACCAACCAAUUCUAAUCAAAAUCGGCUUAAUAUCAACAAACAAUGCAAGAAAAAUUAAUUACAAUACGUAAAGCUAAGAUCUUUACACUUUUUCAAAAGAUUAAACAAAAGUUAACCCCGGGCCAGUUUGGUCAAAACUCGAAAUUCAAAUCAAAACCCAAUUAUCCAUUCACUACAACCCCGAUUUUGCAAUUAGUUUCAAAAUCCGACCUCGAUUUGAGGUCUAAAUCUCAAUUUUACAAAAACAUCCAAUUCUUCCCAAAUUCCUAAUUUUCUACCCUAAAAAAGCAUAGAUUAAAGUUAGAAAUCAAUGGUUGUUGAUGGAAAUGGAAGAAAAGGAGUUAACCUAUAUGAACCUAUGAAUUGGUAAUGAAUUUUCUCUUCAAAAUCGCCUCUAGGCUGAGCUCUAAUGAAAAGAUGGUAAAAAAUGGGUGAAAUCUCGUGUUUGAGAUAUUUUAAAGUUUGGGAAUUAGGUGUUCAUCGCGUUCGUGAGACACCUGAUGUGAUCACGAAGCAGCAGUGGCCAAAGGCCUACGCGUUCGCGAGGGGAUUCACGCGUUUGUGAUAUUCUUUCCCCUCUGGCCAUCGCAUUCACGAGCCUUGGCUCGCAUUCGCGUAAAGCAAACCCUCUAUCCCCCUCCUAGGUUCCUUACUCUUCGCAUUCGCGAAGGGUGAUCCCACCAUAGCUUCGCAUUUGCGUACAGAGCCUAGCGUUCACAUAGAAAAAAACCUCCCUAGCCCAGAUUACUCUUCGCGAUCGCGAAGAAGGACACACCAUAUAUUAGCAGUAGCACCCAAAACCAACAAAUUCUUCUAAGUUCAAAUGGUUCAUAUCCUAUCUGAAACUCAUCCGAGCCCCUCGAGCUCCAAACCAAGCGUGCACACAAGUGUAAUAACAUCAUACGAACUCACUCGCGCGAUCAAAACACCAAAAUAACACCUAGAACCACAGAUUAGACAUUAAAAUGUAUGAAAUUUUUAAUGAAACUUAAGAACUUUCAAAUUCACAACCGAGCGUCUGAAUCAUGUCAAAUCAACUCUGUUUUGAACCAAAUUAUUUGGAUAAGUCAAUAAUAGUAAACUGAACCUAUACAUGACCGAAGAUAGAGUGAGCUAUCAGGAAGAGAAGGGGGAUGUUAGUUAUAUAAGUAUAGCGCAUGUACUACAUGUGCUAUACCUGACCGACUUUUCAGGUUUAGGUAUAGCGCAUGUAAUGUAUGUGCUAUACUUAGUGUUUCAAAAUAAUAAACAUAGCGUGCGGUAUAUCUUAACGGCCUCAUUAAGGUAUAGCACAAAUAUUAUAUGCGCUAUACAUAGAAUUAUAUUCAAAAUAUUUUUUCGCCUAUUUUUGUCUCAAAAGGCAACCUUUUGAUUCCGUACAGAGCUGAAAUACCUAUGCUUUUCUAAUGGAAUUAGGAAACCCCUUUCCAAAACAUGAAAAGUGGAGGUAAUGGUUCAUGUCCUCCACCUAUACAUUCUUACAUAUUGGUCAGAGAAAAGCAUCCUCUGGUAGGAAUAAGUAAACUUCUAUAUCAAUAACCAUUUUGUCUUAGUGAUAAGACAUAUUGGUUAUUAAUAUAGAUGGUUGCUUAGCUUGUUCCCAACCCCAAAGGCUGCUUUUGUUUAAUAAAAACAAUACCUUAGACUGAAAUGUAAUCACAUGGUAUGUCUACUUGUAAUUACAAGAUUAUCCUAAAAACGUUUAAUAAUUAAAUCGACGUACGCUAAGAUCCAAAAAACUCAGGCGUGUUAGGUUCGUGUGCGUUGAUACUUUUUCUGUUAUGGAGAAACGGUACGAUUAGAAGAGUAUAUUAUAUGAUAGUGGCAGGCUGUUAGGCAACUCUCUUGUCUGUAUCUUAGUUUAUCCAUGACCUCAUCUCGCACGUACUCAUAAACCACUUUUGAAUUAUAGGGUUUUAUCAAAACAAGCGGUUUUUGUUGCUCGCGCUGACCAUAAAUUUCUAACCAAGCAAGGACCGUCAUCAGACACCAUCGUGUAAGCACCCCCUCUCGUAACUAUGCAAUUAAUUUUUCCAUUUAACCAAUAAACAAUUAGAAAUUGGUUCAGUUAUCUCUCGUAAACAGGUGACAUUGAAGCAUUCGAAGCCAAUUUAGUUUGGUUCGUGUGCAGAAGCUGUACGUUGUAGCAGUGAAGUAUGGCAAGAGGAAAGAUCGCGAUCAGAAGAAUUGAGAAUCCGGCAAGCAGGCAGGUGACCUUCUCAAAACGGAAAAGCGGAUUAAUUAAGAAAGCCAAGGAACUAGCCAUCCUUUGCGACGCUGAAGUUUUAGUAACCAUCUUUUCCAGUACUGGUCGCCUCUAUGAAUACUCAAGCUCCAGGUUCUUAUUCUUUCCUUCUUAUUAACCAUACAAAAUAUUGAUUUGAAUCUUAGUCUACUCUUCUACGUCUUAAUUAUGUUUAAUUUUCGGUCGCGGAAAUAAAUAGCAUCUUCUUUAAUUUGAGUGACGGCUGAGACAUUUUAUGCUCAGUUAGAACAAAAGUAAUUAUAUACUAACAAUUAGGAGAAUUUAACUCAUUAUCCUUGGAGCUAGGUGAAAAUAAUACCCGUCAAUCAUAAUUAAGCAACAGUUAACAAAUCUUUCUAAUUGGUCCUUCGGCCUGCAGGGCACUAGACGAAUAUAAAUGAUGUAGUAUGAAUUAGGAUGAGAAUCAAUAUGAGCGUGUUGGAAAAUUUGGGGAGACUAUUAGAAGCACAUUAAGGAAAGUGUUUUUACUUAUUUUCUCAACUUGGCUUUAAUAAAAUGACCAUUGGUACCUAUUUACUUAUCAACACUGUUCUAACGUGCACCUUUUUUUCCAAACACAUGUAUAGAAUCAUGUAUGCAUUCUUAUAUUAAUAUUCUAAUAUACGAACAAAGUAAAUACAUAUACUGGAGAUGAAUCGAGGUAGUCAUACCUUUUAAAUAGCUUGGUGAAGAUACACAUAACUUGGCCUUAUGACGUCACAAACUCGAGCUCAACUUCUUUCUUGAAUCUUCCCUAACUCAUCAUAUCUUUACGGCCUCUUUGAUGCAACCACACCGUUCAUCUUUCUACUUCAAGAAAGCUUUGGUUCAACCGAUUUUUGUUUCAGCUUCCUCCAAUCCUCUUCAUAGAUGACUUGCGAAAAUCCGACAAGUGGCCAUGGAGUCUAAGUCCUUGGACUCUUGAUCACUAGCGACAACAACAUAAGUAAAUAGAAUCGUAAAAGUUUUGCAAUGACCCUGUCGAAAUUGGAGCUAAGAUAACAAACCAACCUCCAUUGUUGGCUGACCUUGAGCUCGCAUAGAGAGAAGAAAGGAAGAUUCUAGAGAGAUGAUGAAAAUGGGGAAAACUUAUGUAUAUUUUCAUUAACUAACUUGAGUACUAUGCACGUGUAAGAAAAAGAAAAACUAAUAACGUGUAACAGGUGUAUGACAGCUAAUUACUAGACUACCCUUGCAACUAACUCAACUCCUAAGAUAACCAACUGACUAACUAACUCAAUUAACAAAUAAAUACAAGGCAACAAUAUACUACAACUCUAUAAUCUCAAUAUCCCCCCCCCCCCCCCCCAAGUUGGAGGUGAGGAACUCACUGCCAACUUGUGAAGAAGAUUCGAAUGCUUGAUCCCUGUGAGAGCCUUUGUUAAAAUGCCAGCUAGCUGAUCAUGAGUAGAAAUAUGAUUAAGUGUAAUCAGACCAUUAUGCAGUUUGUCUCUCAUAGAGUGGCAAUCGACUUCUAUAUGCUUUGUCCUCUCAUUGAACAUAUGGCUCCUAGCAAUGUGGAUAGCUGCCUGGCUAUCACAAAAAACUGGAAUAGGAUGAGUACAUGGAACUGUUAGUCCUUCCAACAAUCUCUGCACUCAUACCAAUUCUCCAACCACCUUUCUCAAGGAUCUGUACUCUGCUUCUGCAGAAGACAAUGAGACAGUAGUUUGCUUCUUUGAUUUCCAGCUAAUAGGACUGCCUCCAACGAGUACAAGAUACCCACUUACAGAUCUACUUGAAUCAGGGCAAGCUGCCCAAUCUGAGUCAUAAUAAGCUGUGACUUUGUAAGAGGGAUCAUUAGACAGAAAAGUGCCUAGAGUAGAAUCAUUCUUCAGGUACCUGAGUACAUGUACAACAUCCUUAAGGUGGGGCUCUCUUUGUGCCUGCAUAAAUUGGCUUGAGUGUUGUACAUUGUAUGCAAUAUCCAGCCUUGUGUUUGUGAGGAAGUUGAGCUUCCCAACUAGUUUUCUAUAAUAAGAUGGAUCAUAAAGCAAAGUACCUUCUUCAGUCUUUAGUUUGGUUGAUGAAUCUAGAGGAGAUGAAAAAACAAAAUACCCCAGACAAUCAUACUCUUUCAAUAGGUCAGUGGUGAACUUCCUUUGGGGGAUCAACACUCCAUCAUCCUUAUAGAGAAUCUCUAGCCCCAAAAAGUAGUGUAACUUGCUUAAGUUUUUUAUUCUGAACUGAUUAUGCAAGUAAGUCUUCAGUGUUUUAAUUUCCUCAAGGUCGGUCCCAGUGAGGAUCACAUCAUCAACAUAUAUAGCUACAAAUAUAGAUGAAUCACCUUGCUUUUAUAAAACAAGGAGUAAUCAUUGUUUGAAUGUCUAAAACCUCUAGAAUACAAGGACUCUAUCAACUUAACAUACCAUUGUCUACUUGCUUGUUUAAGUCCAUACAGAGACUUCCUUAGUCUGCACACAAGCUGUGUGUUUUCUACCAUUAGGCCUUGUGGGAUUUCCAUAUAUACUUCUUCAUGUAGGUCCCCAUAGAGGAAUGCAUUAUUCAUAUCCAGCUGAUAAAGAUCCCAUCCUUUCUUUAUUGCAGUACUGAUCAGGGCUCUAACAGUGGUCAUCUUAACCACUAGAGAAAAAGUUUCUGUAGUCAAUCCCAGCUUCCUGUGUAUAUCCCUUCAUUACCAGAAGUCUUGCUUUGUACGUUUCCACACUUCCAUUUGCUUUGUGUUUUAUUUUGUCACCCACUUGAAUCCUAUGGUUUUCUUUCCUAUAGGCAACUUAACUAGAUCCCAAGUAUGGUUAGCAUAUAAAGCUUCAAAUUCUUGUGUCAUUGCUACUUUCCAGGCAGGAUUCAAAGUUGCCUCCUCAUAAGAGUAUUGUUUACACUCAUGUGAAAUGUUCUUAACUAGUUGCUGGCUGUCAUGGCUCAAUGUAUUGAAUGACACAUAAUGGUUAUUGGAGAAAAAAGCAGUAAGUGAAGUUGAGACUGAUUGAUGUUAAAGGUUUGUAUUGUUGCUUAAGUGAUUGUUUGAUUGUAGAUUGGGUAGUGUAUAGACAUAGUCCUUGAGGUGUGAAGGUAUGCUGAGUGUUCUGCUUGAUCUUCUAUGUUGUGUGUUAUUUGGUUGAUUAACAUUGAGUUCUAUGUUGUGUGGUACUUGAUUGAAGGAUGUUGUGUGAUACUCUGAAUGGCCUUCAGGUGAAACAUUUAGUUCUGGAUCUGGGCUCAUAUGUGCAAUGUGGUAUGGUGUGUUUGUAGGGUGGCAAUUAAUUAGUGCCUGGUGAGUGAGGGCCUUCAGAUAUAAGACUGUUAGUGACAGAAGUUGAUGCAUUUCUAUCAUGAUUAUAAUGAUCAUCAGGUGUAAUCACAGUAGAAUUGGGAUAUGGAGAAUUGUGGUUUAUCAUAUGCAAUACAGAAGGGAAAAAAGAAUGUUCAGGUGAAAUGGAAAAAGGAAAAACAUCUUCAUGAAACACAACAUCUCUAGACACAUGUACCCUCUUUGCGGCUAAAUCAAUGACCUUAUAUCCUUUGAUCCCAAAAGGAUAUCCUACAAACACAUGGGGUGUCAUGACCCAUUUUCUGAACAAGCCGGGACCGACACUCGAUUACUAAAUAUGACCGAGCGAACCAUCUCUGCUUAUCAAAUUUAUUAUAACUCCAAACUUUAUAUGCAACAAGGCAAUACUCUAACCAAAUACUUUUGAUUAAUUUAAAUAUUUAACCAAAACAACUCCAAAACUUUAUUCGUAGUAACUACUGAAUUACUGCUAAGUUAUAAUCAAAAACAUCUGAAUCUUAACCCAACGACUAUGUCUAUGAAGCCUCCACUGAUAAACUGACGCACUGCUCAGGACAUGAGAUUUUCUGGCCAGUUCUCUAAGUAAACAAAGAAAUAACUAAAUAAAGAUAACUCUACGGAAUACUCCACGAACAAAAGCGGAGCUCACCAAUAGCACUGGAAGAGAAAGAAGUCCCAACCAGUAGCCUGCUCGCCUGCAAAUCUGGUUCCUACAUGGUACCGCAGACCAACGUAGGUUCCCAAAAGAGAACGUCAAUACCAUCCAUUGUACUCAGUGAGUCUCAACAACAGGGGGCAAAACUUUAAUAACAUAUACAUUACGAGCAAAGGUUCUAAUGCAUGUAAAAUAUAAAGCUUAUAAGAAUAAUUCUAAAAUAAUUGCAUAAUAGCAGUUUAUGAAUAUUCUAAAAGAAAUUCUUUUCUUUUUCUUUCUUAUAAAAAAAAUACUUCACUUUAUACUUUGGGAGUUCCAAAUAUCCUGACUUAAUUUUGUCUCAGUCAUCGUGUGAUCGGCACGGGUUCGAUCCCAACCUGAUCGAAUAGGCCCAAUCCACGAGGUGUCACUCGCUUCAUGGUUCUCAGCGCUCAUGUAUCAUACCUUAGCAUUGCUAAGUAAUUUCUCAGCAACGAGACCCUCGGCUCAUGUUCUCCCUACUUUGGCACAAGUAGUUUCAGGAAGUCAAUGCCUUGGUCAGGACCCUUGGCAUGGACGAUGACCCCUUCUCAGAAUAAAGGAUACUCCCAAAAAUCUUUUUUUUCUACUUCUUCUUAUGACUUUUCGAGUCUAAAUCUUUUCUUUUUAGAAUAUCAUGUACAUGCUCGGGCUGGUAUCCUUAAAUAUAAAGCAUGACAUAAGAAUGAAAUAAACAUCUAAAAGUAUUUCUAAAGAUUCUUGCUUCUUCAUAAAUUUUCAACAUGAAAAUAGCAUAAAAGAAUAACACAUUAUAUGCUGAUUUUGACACCCAUAAAUUAACAUCUGACCAAUUACAAAAAGCGAAAGAAGCAUAUUCCAAGAAUCUUACGUAUCAAAAUUAAUUUUAAAUAAUAAAAUAUUACUUUCUUACAUUAGUAAAGACAAUACUAUUCAACAUUAUAGAAAGAAAUUAAAGGUGAUAACGUGAACUUUUUGUUGGCUUGUUCCCAUCUUUAAUUAGUGCUAAAUUUAUUCUCCAUAUAGCAAAUUUAGCUAUUGGAGAUAUUUUACUGGAAGUUGAUAAUAAGGUCUCCAACUAGCUGGAAUUAUAAUCUAGUAUUAAUGUUCUUGUUGACCAAUUUUAGAAUACAGAAAUCCGUAACGAUAGUUCAAUUGUUGUUUAAGGUUUUACACGGUUAAUUAAAGAUUGUUAUUAAAAGAUUGCUUGACUAGUUAGAAACAUUUAUUUGAUUCUUUCUAGACUUUUGAAAAUAAUAAAUUUGUGCACAUAUAUCAUAAUAAAUUAUCUAAACUUUUGCUAGAAAAAUUCUAAAUUAAUAGGUACUCACUCGCUCCAAUUAAGCAAAUAUAAACUCUUUUAAGCAAUUCGUCAAACACCUUGUAUACGUGCUUUUGUGAAUUAAACCACUUUAGUAAAGGAUUAUAUUAACUCACCUCAAAACUUCUCGAGCCAAUACGUAGGCCCCAGUUCAAUUGACACCAGUCAAACAAUUGGUUUUACAACAGUGCAUUUUAAUCAAUUUUAAAGUACUACACCUAAAUAUGAAAUUUAUUGUUGAUAUAGAGGAAGAAGGGAAUUCACUAUUCAAUUCUUACCUAUUACUACUGUAGGGUUAUUGAUAAUAUGGGAUUUUACAUACCUGAGUUCAAGAAUUAAUGAUUUGUAAGAAACCCUAGAUUUUUUUCGUUGCCUGCGUGAGUUUCCUAGCUCUCUGUUUCGUGAGUUUGCUCUAAGGCUUUUGCAAUA